CAUGGAGACUUGCUCCCUUGCCCCAAGCCCCUGAGUGUGUUUGUGGCUUGCUCCCUAGGUAGUGGUGGAGGCUGAGAAGCUGGGGAGAGCUGUCCGGGCAGCUGAGCAGGCCCUCCAGCAGGAUGCCCCAGCACCGCCUCCCAGCCUGUUCGAUGAGCUGAGGGACUCAGUCUUCAGCACCCUACUGCCGUACUGGGCUGGGUUCCGAAAGGCCUGGCUGAAGCGGUCGCUUGAGAGCGUCCAGAGAGCCCCGGUGCUGAGAGCCCAGCAGCUCCUACAGCAGAGACGGGCCCUGUUUGAGCGGUCCCAGGGCCCACCACAAACAUUCCAACUGUCUCCUCUGCAGCAGCAUGCAAACGUGAAGGGGAGCAAGCAGCAGGGCGGCUUCACUUACACCUUCUCCAUCAGCAGGGGCAUUGCCCUGAAGGCCUCCAGCAGAGAAGAUAUGGGCAACUGCACUUCUGUGUUUGGAAACGGCAAGAGGUCAGCACGAGUUCAGCUUCCUCACCUUCCCGAGGUGCCGGUGCUGCUCUGACCAGGACAGAAAGCGCUCUAGCCUACAGCACCCAAUGUAGAGCCAUAACGCUGGCAACACGAGUGGCAGCUAGAGGUGGCUGGUGUGCUGCAAAAUCAAGCUCUGAGCUGUUUUUAAACACAGGGAAGGCAAACAGGUAACAGCUAGGAGACACAUCUGGGAAGUGACCCUCUGCUGUAUGGUGGCAUGGUAAAGCAAGGCUCGGGCACCCCGCUGGAAGUUCAAGGUCCCUUGGCACCGAGAGAAAACCUGGGAGUCUUGGCCUAAGUCCCUCUCUCAUUAAGGAGGGUUUCAAUUACCCAGACUGGACACAAGCUCUUGCUGAACCCAGAAGAGCGGAGGCAGCUGCCUGCAUUCUCAGUGCUGCUGAAGUAGCUGAAUCAGUGCACUGAGGAGCACAAAAGGCACCAGAUCUGCUCUCUCCCUCCACAAAAAGACCAACGCCCCCCUCGCCAGCAUUUCCAUCUCCUGUUCAAAGGAUCAGGUUAACAUCAAUCACAUGAUAGUGAAAAGCCCUCGUAGGAAGAGUCCUUGUAGAGUGGCUGGGAGCCGAGAUCACAGUGGGCUAUCUGUGUGAUGUUAAGGGUUAAGCCUCACAUGGAGUUUCCAGGUCUGAGAGCUGCAGCCACCAGGGCAAUUCCAGCCUAAGCUUUGAGACAGACAUGGGUGGGCUGCUUAUCUGACAUAACAGGUCGAUUCUGUAUUCUCAUUCAGACCCUCCCCUCUCUGCCUCCAGUCUGGAGGCAGCUGGGCAGAACAAGGUGCUUGCUCUUCCUCCCUCCCAGAGUGAACAGCCCACCCACGCUCUUACAGCACACGUGACGCUAAAAUGAAGGCAAGGCAGCCCUUUGCCCAGAGCAGGGUCAUACGCCAGGUGCAGCAGGGCGGGGCUGGAGGGUUUGUUAACCAGGGGUGGAGUUCAAAGGAUGUGGUGUCAUAGCUCAUGCUACAGCUAUGCAUUUGGCUCUUAUUUUAUGGCACUAGCCUGUGUCCCUAUUAAAAAUGACUGAGUUGAUCAUCAGGUGAGGGACUGAGUUCCAGGCCCAUAAGAGCCGCUCUACAAACUCAAGGCUCUUGGGCCAAAGUGGGGUAGCGGCCAGUGCCAGAGGAUGGUGCAACAGUGCUGGCAGCUGGGCAGCGCUGGCUGUGGGGCUGAGGGAUUCCACCACUGCCUGCACGGCAGUCAGCUCAGAUCCUGACAUGGGACAUUCACUCACACUGUGCCUGCUGCAGCCUCAUGACCUCCUGGCUAGCCUUAACCACUGAACUCUUGCCCCCUUGUGUGCAUUCAAAGUGCUGCUAACAUCAGCUUCCCAGCUCAUCGCCCACCUCGGGCUCCCCCUGCUCCACGGCAUCGAACAUGAGCUACUUACCUUUCUGUCUCUUCACAACUUAGCCCCAGCUGCUCUUGUAAUUCCUCCUGCUGCCGAGAUGCUGCUUUUGCUCUGCCAGCAUUCCCUGAUUGCACUGCCCAGUCACUUUGGCCUCGAUUCACAAAGGGACUUAGGCACCUAAGUCUGGGUUGAGGCCCCAAGCCCCAGUUUUAGGCGAUUCACAGAACUGGCAAACCCUCUCAGUGCCAUGUUUCUGAUGUAAAAGUUCCUGUGUUGACAGUGUUUGAGGCUUUGGGCAUGUGCACUGCUGCGUCACUCUAGGGGUCUGGAUGCCUGGCUCCUGCCUACGCCCCAUGGGGGGGGAGGAGUAGGAGUUUGGCCAAAUGUAUGGGGCCUGAGCCAUAGGCAUGCUCAGAGGCUGCCUACCAGUUGGGCCGCUCAGGCACACACAAGUCAGCCAGGGGGAGUGGCCCUCCUACAUCACUCUUUUAGCCCAGUGGUUAGGGUGCUCACCUGGGCUGCGGGAGAGCACCCGUUUCAAGUCCCUCCCUCCACUUGAGGGGGAGAAGGGAUUUGAACUGGAGCCUUGUCAUCUCUCGGGACGUACUCUAACCACCGGGCUAUGGGAUAGUCCCAUGUGAGGCUCCCUGAAUCUCUCCCAUUGAGGCUGUUUCACUGUGGAUAAAUAAUUAGUCAUUUGAGCCAGGGAGACAGAGAGCACACACAUGUCCAACAAUUAGGGCACUCACCUAAGAUGGGGCAGAUCCCAGUUCAAAUCCUCGGGGGGACUUUAACUGGGGGUCUCCCAGGUUAGAAUCCGAACCACUGGGCUAAAAGUUAUGAAAGAGGCCCUCCUCCCCGCCCAGCCUCUUGCAGAAGUGGCAUAGGUGCCUAACUCCAAAGAGGGUUCCUGGCUAAGAACGCUGGCAGAGAUACACACCUCCCUGCCUGGACCUAGGCGCCUGUCUCUGUGAGAGGAGCAGGGCUUAGCACAUCCUCUGCUGGUUGGCAGCUCCCUGCCUACCAUGCUGGCUUUUGGGAAAUGCAGUCUAAAGCGCCGGUCUCGCCCCAGGCACUGUGUAGGUGCUAAACUCAGGCUUUGUGACUUGCAACAUGGUUCUGUGAUUUUCUAGGCCCUAACAGGUAGGUGCUGUAACACUCAGUGUUGCAACACCAAAGUACCUUUGUGCAUCCAGGCUUUCCCUCAUCCCACCCUUUAUGCAUGGGGAAAUUCCCCCUAAAAUCCAUGCCACCACCACCUCAUCCUUCAAGCUCCUGCUGUGAUUCCUCCCAAACCCUAGCAGCUGAUAAGACCAGGCCAGGGGUGAGCUACCUCUACUGCUUACAGCAAUUUCACUGUUUACCCUAUCAGUCCUACCCUCCGUCCACACCUUUUGCAUCUUGGUAUAAACCAAGUUUUGCAAGGCCUUUGGGGCAGGGAGUGUCUUCGCUUUAGAUCGACAUAGCCUGGGGCAGGGGCUCUAGGCACUGCUGUAAUACACAUAAUAAUGAGGUUUAAAUUACCCAGGUUGUGUGAAUUUGUGGAGUUGUA